AUCAAGAUCAUCCAUGAACCACUUCUUCCAGACUAAGCAAUCUAUUAUUCUAUUAGUACUAGGCUGAGUGUUCACAACUUGUUUUGGGUUUUUUGUGGUGUUUAUUUUUUUUUUUCUUUUCACCCUAACAUUCUGCUUAGAGGUCAGAAACAUCAGCUUUCACAUUUACUUGAGUUCCACUUUAACUCUGUGUUGUUGGUGACACUCCAGGUUCUGCAGCUCAGGUCCAGAGUAAGAAGCUUUUAGCAUCCGCUCAGCAUGGGGAUUACCAGCAGCAUCCUUUGAAUUUUGACCCAGGAAGCAGCAAUGGAACAGGAGGAAACGCUCAAAGACCAAAGACAGUGCCUAGCAGAUGGAAGGAGGGAAGGGCAGAUAGGCUAUUAGCACACCCAAAUGAAAAGUCUCUUGCUACUGUCUUCACGCAACUACAGAAACAAAGACUGGUCCAGAAGUAAACCUAAAUGUAUUUUUAAUCAGUCCAGGGCAUUUUAGAAAAUGCCACUGAACUGGCAACCUUGAAGCAAGAGAAAAACAAUUUAUAUACAAAUCAAAGAGAGGCAGUAAUACUCCAGUGCUGUGCAUAUGCACUUCAGCAUACUUGGAUGCAGCAUUCAAUACCAGCUCCAGUCAGUUAAUCUGCUAAUCCAUUUUAGGUACUGGGUGAUGGAGAUCCUCAUUCUGAGCAAGAGCAGCACUGCACGUCCUUCCUUCACAGACAAUGCCGCACAGCACAGAAAGGCAAGGAUAUCAGUCAAAACUAAAAGGCUUCCUUUUAUUAUGGUAACCUCAGACUGUGGUGGUGCAAAGCACAGCGAAGUACUUAAAGCAAAAGCAUUGGGUCUGGCGUUUGGGGUUUUCUUUGAUCAGUUUUGGUUUUUUUUUUAACUGCUUUCCUAUUGCAGCUCCUGUGUAAAAACGUGUAAGUUUAUCUGCAUUUCUCUUGCAUGGAAAAAAGCUUGCUUUUAUAGCCUAGCAAAAAAAAUGA